rnacentral:rRNA from 1 species
UAGCCGUAAACGAUACUCGCUAGGUGUCGGCCACGGUGCGACCGUUGUCGGUGCCGUAGGGAAGCCGUGAAGCGAGCCACCUGGGAAGUACGGCCGCAAGGCUGAAACUUAAAGGAAUUGGCGGGGGAGGCACAACAACGGGUGGAGCUUGCGGUUUAAUUUGGAUUCAACGCCGGAAAUCUUACCGGGACCGACAGCAACAUGAAGGCCAAGCUGAAGACUUUGCCGGAUUAGCUGAGAGGUGGUGCAUGGCGUAGUCGUGU